GGCUCAGGAUUAACGCUGGCGGCGUGCCUAAUACAUGCAAGUCGAACGGGAAAUACUUUCGGGUAUUUCUAGUGGCGAACGGGUGAGUAAUACGUAGGUAACCCACCUGUAAGACGAGGAUAGCCAUUGGAAACGAUGGAUAAUACUGGAUAGGACAAUGGAGAAAGCAUUUUAGAUUGUUUAAAGGGAGGAAUCCGCUUACAGAGGGGCCUGCGGCGCAUUAGCUAGUUGGUAAGGUAAAGGCUUACCAAGGCGAUGAUGCGUAGCCGGACUGAGAGGUUGAACGGCCACAAUGGAACUGAGAACGGUCCAUACUCCUACGGGAGGCAGCAGUAGGGAAUUUUCGGCAAUGGGGGGAACCCUGACCGAGCAACGCCGCGUGAACGAAGAAGUUAUUCGUAAUGUAAAGUUCUUUUAUUUGCGAAGAAGAAAGUGACGGUAGCAAAUGAAUAAGCUCCGGCUAACUACGUGCCAGCAGCCGCGGUAAUACGUAGGGAGCGAGCGUUAUCCGGAAU
rnacentral:rRNA from 1 species